GGUGCUCUCUCGCUGGGUCGCUCGGGUCGGCUUCGGUCGCUGUCGCUCCCGUUCUUCCACCCCCGCCAACCGCCGCUCGGGCCUCAGCUGCCGUCGCGUCGCUUCCUCGCUCGCUCGCUCGCUCGCCGCACAUCAUCCCCGAUGCAGCGCCGGGACGACCCUGCCGCGCGCCUCACCCGGUCCUCGGGCCGCAGCUGCUCCAAGGACCCGUCAGGUGCCCACCCCUCGGUGCGUCUGACCCCGUCUCGGCCGUCGCCGCUUCCUCACCGGUCCCGAGGAGGCGGAGGUGGGCCCCGAGGAGGCGCUCGGGCCUCGCCCGCCACGCAGCCGCCGCCGCUGCUGCCUCCCUCUACCCCGGGUCCCGACGCGACUGUGGUGGGUUCCGCGCCGACCCCGUUGCUGCCCCCGUCGGCCACAGCCGCGGCCAAGAUGGAGCCGGAGAAUAAGUACCUGCCUGAACUCAUGGCUGAGAAGGACUCGCUCGACCCGUCGUUCACUCAUGCCAUGCAGCUGCUGUCCGUAGAAAUUGAGAAGAUUCAGAAGGGAGAGUCAAAAAAAGAUGACGAGGAGAAUUAUUUGGAUUUAUUUUCUCAUAAGAACAUGAAGCUGAAAGAACGGGUACUGAUACCUGUCAAGCAGUAUCCAAAGUUCAAUUUUGUGGGGAAGAUUCUUGGACCACAAGGAAAUACAAUCAAAAGACUGCAGGAAGAGACUGGUGCAAAGAUCUCUGUCUUGGGGAAGGGUUCAAUGAGAGACAAAGCCAAGGAGGAAGAGUUACGCAAGGGUGGAGACCCCAAAUAUGCCCAUUUAAAUAUGGAUCUGCAUGUCUUCAUUGAAGUCUUUGGACCCCCAUGUGAAGCUUAUGCUCUUAUGGCCCAUGCCAUGGAAGAAGUCAAGAAAUUUCUAGUCCCAGAUAUGAUGGAUGAUAUCUGUCAGGAGCAGUUUCUAGAAUUGUCCUACUUGAAUGGAGUACCUGAACCCUCUCGUGGUCGUGGAGUAUCUGUGAGAGGACGAGGAGCUGCCCCUCCUCCCCCACCUGUUCCCAGAGGUCGUGGUGUUGGACCACCUAGAGGGGCUUUGGUUCGUGGAACCCCAGUGAGAGGCUCCAUCACCAGAGGUGCCACUGUGACUAGAGGAGUGCCACCACCACCCACUGUGAGGGGUGCUCCAACACCAAGAGCUCGGACAGCUGGUAUUCAGAGAAUACCUUUGCCUCCCACACCUGCACCAGAAACAUACGAAGAUUAUGGAUAUGAUGAUACAUAUGCAGAACAGAGUUACGAAGGCUAUGAAGGCUAUUACAGCCAGAGUCAAGGGGAGUCAGAGUAUUAUGACUAUGGACAUGGGGAGCUUCAAGAUUCUUACGAAGCCUAUGGACAAGAUGACUGGAAUGGGACCAGGCCAUCACUGAAGGCUCCUCCAGCUAGGCCAGUGAAGGGAGCAUACAGAGAGCACCCAUAUGGACGUUAUUAAAAACAAACAGGAGGGGAAAAUAUCAGUUAUGAGCAAAGUUGUUACUGAUUUCUUGUAUCCCAGGAUUCCUGUUGCUUUACCCACAACAGACAAGUGACUGAAAAUUCCUGCCACUUUUCCUGGAAUAGAAUGGGUAUCAGAGACCCAUGUCAGGUAUGUGAAGGUAGUUUUCAUUGUGUGUCAUGGCAAAGCAGUGGUGCUAAGAGGUAGUUGAUAGGGUGAUCUUUCCUAAACUUAGUUUUACCAUAUUUAAUCACACUUCUAUGUCAGUUUACAGGAUGUGAUGAGUUUAUAUGUAAUAGUUAAUCCACUGACAUAGGGUUUCAUUUGGAGUGUAUUUUUUACAAGCACUGAAGUGCCUAAUGGAAAUAAAAGGGCCUUUACUGGAUUUGGGGGAGGCACAGAUUACACAGACUAGAAAAAUCUGGUUUGGAAGCCAGGCAGUGGUGACGCACACCUUUAAUCCCAGAACUUGGGAGGAAUAGGCAGGUGGAUUUCUGAGUUCAAGGCCAGCCUGGUCUACAGAGUGAGCUCUAGGACAGCCAGGGCUACACAGAGAAACCUUGUCUCAAAAAACUGAAAAACAAAAACAAAGAAAUCUGGUUUGGGAACCUUAGUGGAUACAAGAGAAUAAGCAGGCUGGGGUCUGUGAGUCUUCCUAGUCUGGAUUACUGGAAAGGUAAGCUCUUGACUGUUUGCUUUCUCUCUUCUACUGAACACACAAGUUCUAUAGAAGAAAUACCAGACAGAAUUAUCUUAAGUCAGCUUAAAGUCCUCACUUUAAUACUCUUGUGUAACAAAGUACUAAUUCCUCAAAAAUGAAAUUCAAUCUGGUGUGGUUGCUCAGAAUGUCACUUCAGACCUCAAGAGUCUAAGGCAUAGGAAAUGCCACUAGUUCAAGACCAGCCUGGGUUGUAGACUGGGACAUUGUAGGGGUGAGUGUUAUUAGGAAAGGGAAUUUUAUAUUGGGCAGUAAAGGACAGGUGUGUAGUAAUUACUAUAAUUGACAGUGGCAAUGAGGUCAGCAACUUCAUAAAGCUAUAAUAAGUAAAGUUGAUUGUUGGCAGAUUGUACCAUGUUGACCCUGUAGUAAAAGUGUAAACAGAAACGGUAUUUCUCACACUGAAGAGAAAUUGUAUGGUGGAAAGAACAUGCUAAGCAUGGUUCAGGGCACACCUAUGAUUCCCACUCAGGAAGAGAAGGCAGGAGGAUCAGAAGUUCAGAGUAAUCCUUAGCCUACAAAGCAAGUUGAAGCCAGCCUUUGCUGUCUUCAGAGACACUGUCUUUAAAAAUUGAGCAGGGAGGAGCAGAGGAAUGGACAUGGAGCCUGGUAGCCUAGAGCUGUCUUUUGUUCCAAAACUACUUGUUUCAACAACUAGGAAAGGCAGACAGACGGUGAGAGUGAAGUAGUGAGUAGUGAAAGAAGAAGGAAUUGUUGCUCAGUUGCUACCCAGUGCUCCAGGUAAAAAUGAAGAUGCAUCCAGAGCUGCUGGGCUAUUGUGGUUGCCACCAAUAAAGCCAGGUCAGACCCAUUUUCUGGUUGAAAAAGAGCAACAUCUUAUUAAAACUCGGGCUUCUCGGCCGGGCGGUGGUGGCGCACGCCUUUAAUCCCAGCACUUGGGAGGCAGAGGCAGGCGGAUUUCUGAGUUCGAGGCCAGCCUGGUCUACAAGAGUGAGUUCCAGGACAGCCAGGGCUAUACAGAGAAACCCUGUCUCGAAAACACCAAAAAACAAAAAAAACUUGGGCUUCUCACAUGUGCGGGUGGAGGAUAGAUCUGUGCCUAGCAUAUGGUGUUGGUGGGAGAUUGACAUAGUAAUAGAUGCUUGGCUUACAGGUUUUGGAGUUCUGUAGCCCACAAUGUUUUGGCCCAAGAACAAAAGUAGGCUAAGGAAGAAGAGAACAAAAACUGAAUGCCUACUGUGUCUACGUACAUUUACAGCCGGUAGUGGGAAUGCUGUCAAAGGAGCCUGGAUACCAGGAGCUACCUGCUGAUAGAGGCUGGCCUGGGGCACUUCUGGGACGUAGAAACCCAGGAGAGGAGCUCUACAGUUGUGUUUGACCCCACCUCUUGAUCUGAUUUUCCCACAGGAAGCCAGCCAGGAUCUUCUACAUAGGAGUCUGUAGUCCCAGAUGAAGUCCUCAGAGCUUCAGGGGACUCAGUCCUAACAGUUCUGCCUACUCCAGACAUUUUAGUAGGAGGGGCUGGGGUUUAACUUGGUGUUUGAACACUUCACUUGCACAUGUAGAGGACCUGGGUUCAUUUUACCUUACAAUAAAUUAAUAAAUAAGUAAAUAAAUGGCUUUUAAAGGAUUGAAAGGCAGUAGGCAUGGUGGCACACACCAUUAAUCUCAACACUUAGGAGGCAGAGACUGAUGGAUCCUGGAGUUCAAAGCCAGCCUGAACUACAGAGCAAGGACAGCUACACAGAGAUCCUGUCUUAAAAAGCCAAAGACUGGGGACUAAAUCCCUGGUGUGGCUCUCGAGGUCAGAACGCUCAGCUCCUGUGCUAUUCCCAGUCUCUUGUUUCUACUUAACCUCCAUAGAAUGUUCUGGAACACACUACUAUAUGUGCCCCACUGCCGCACCUUUAUUGGAACCUAUAGCCUGGGAGCCCUUGGGCAUGUCCAGAGGACUCCCAGGAGAUAGUCAUCCUCUCUGUAAUAUGUGAAGGAAAGUUGAAUCAUUUAGGUAAGGCAUUUUAAACUCUGAGCCUGUGUUCCUCUUUGUUCUUAGCACUUGUCCACACGUUCUUGAAUGGUAGGGCUGUUCUGUACUACAGUUCUCAAAUAUCUGCCUCUGCCCCAAGAAUUCAAUAAAGGUUUGGUCAAGUGAUGAACGGUG